rnacentral:antisense_RNA from 1 species
GGCAGGGUGGGGGAGGGGAGGAAGGGGACAACUCUCCUAUACCCCAUGCCAGGAAAUCAGAACAAAACACCCCCAAAUACUUGAAGUUAAAAUAAUUAAAAGCAGCUAAUUUUAUUAUUGCCUGUGCAUGCAAAACGGUCUCAAAGUCAUGCAACAGCACCACUACAACUUGC